GUCCCUGUAGCGCAAUGGAUAGCGCGUUGGACUUCUAAUCCAAAGGUCGUGGGUUUGAAUCCCACCUGGGAUG
rnacentral:tRNA from 1 species